GUACCUUACGUUGACUUUAAAAUGCCAUUGCAAGUGAAUAUGCUAAUCAAACAAUACAAUAGUAUUGCCGCAUGUAAAGCUUAUUCAGUCUACUUAUUAGGAGCCACUGAGACAUAGUUUAUGGCGAAGAGAGGUUAGUUAUAUAUGCAUGAGAGGAACAUGGAAAGUUAUGUUUCAUGUGAAUAGAUGCCAUUGAACAGGCUCCUAGAAGAUCCUUCUCUGCCAGCAGGGGUUAAAUAAGCUGUCACUGAUGAAAUUCAUGUGUAUGUACAUUCAUGGCCAGUAAAUUACCUAUCAUAUGAACAUGCAGCAUUAGGUCUGAAGAGUCUGCAGAGAAUACUUGUGAAUACUUGUGCCACUUUUAGACACUAGAAAUUACUCUUAUGUUUUCUUUGGUUUUAUAGCCUCAUGCAUAAAGAGCGAGAGAGACUUCAAUUUCAUAUUCUCACACGCCUGGUUGUUACUGUUAAAAUUAUGACUAAUGUCUGUGUCAUUGUAGGAAUGAGAUGAUGUCAGAGCAGCAGUGACUGUUGAAGAUGAGAAGUUAAUUAUGAAGAAAUAUAUAAGAAAUAUAUAAGACGUUAUGCAAGUCGAGGUGUGUUGAGUUAAACCUCCCACGCCUCAAACCGCAGUGAUUUUUAAUCAGCUUGACUUUUUUUAAGUUAGUCAGUAGUUGCAUGUUUUUAAUUUUCAUGCAUUCAUGUGCAAAAAGUAUGUAGAGUAAAACAGAGAGAGACUUCAAUUUCAUAUUCUCACACGCCUGGUUGUUACUGUUAAAAUUAUGACUAAUGUCUGUGUCAUUGUAGGAAUGAGAUGAUGUCAGAGCAGCAGUGACUGUUGAAGAUGAGAAGUUAAUUAUGAAGAAAUAUAUAAGAAAUAUAUAAGACGUUAUGCAAGUCGAGAUCCAUCUCGUUCAGGUUGUGAGUAUCCAUGCAUGUUUGAAGAGGUUUGGGAUCAGGAUGGAUGUGGAGGAGACUGGAGCAGGACAGGUGGAGGCAGCGGCCCCAGAGGAAGAGGCAAUAGAUAGAUAGAUAGAUAGAUAGAUAGAUAGAUAGAUAGAUAGAUAGAUAGAUAGAUAGAUAGUGAGUUUUUUUAUUUAGAAAAGCUGAUAUAAAUGAAAUAAACCCAAGUGAACUGAAUCCCUCAGGAGCCUGUGGAAACCUCUGCUCCCAGGAGGCCGAGAGGAAGGCCGAGAGGCAGUAAAAAAUAAAGGCCAGCGGGUCACAGCCAAAGUAAGAGAACUUACUGGAGAGCACUUAAACUUAAGCUGAAUGAUUCUUGUUAUACAGAUAUAUAACAUGCUCUCUCAUUCCUUCAUCUCUUGUUGGAUGUAGGUAGAGCCACCUAGAGAACGGAGACCUCGAGGUAGAC
rnacentral:lncRNA from 1 species